rnacentral:rRNA from 1 species
UACGGAGGGUGCAAGCGUUAAUCGGAAUUACUGGGCGUAAAGCGCGCGUAGGCGGCAAGUUAAGUUGGGUGUGAAAGCCCCGGGCUCAACCUGGGAAGGCAUCAAACUGGCAUAGCUAGAGUACAGCAGAGGAUAGUGGAAUUUCCGGUGUAGCGGUGAAAUGCGUAGAGAUCGGAAGGAACACCAGUGGCGAAGGCGAC